GAUGAAGAACGCAGCGAAAUGCGAUAAGUAGUGUGAAUUGCAGAAUUCAGUGAAUCAUCGAAUCUUUGAACGCACAUUGCGCCCGCCAGUAUUCUGGCGGGCAUGCCUGUCUGAGCGUCAUUUCAACCCUCAGCCCCCGCUCGCGGGGCGCUGGCGUUGGGGAUCGGCCGUCCUCGCGGCGGCCGGCCCCGAAACACAGUGGCGGUCUCUCGCGGACUCCCCUGCGUAGUAGCACUACCUCGCAGAAGGGACGAGCGGGCUGACCACGCCGUAAAACCCCCCACUUCUCCAGGUUGACCUCAGAUCAGGUAGGAAUACCCGCUGAACUUAAGCAUAUCAAUAAGCGGAGGA
rnacentral:misc_RNA from 1 species